rnacentral:rRNA from 1 species
CCUACGGGUGGCUGCAGUGGGGAAUAUUGGGCAAUGGAGGCAACUCUGACCCAGCAACGUAGCGUGAAUGAUGACUGCCCUAUGAGUGUUAAGCUUUUUUUUUAGGGAAGUAGAACGAGACGGUAGUGUAUUUUUAAGUCUCGUUUAUCUACGUGCCAGCAGCCGCGGUAAUACGUAGGAUGCAAGCGUUAUCCGGAUUGACUGGGUGUAAAGGUUGCGUAGGUGGUUUGACAAGUUAGUAGUGAAAUUUCGGGGUUCAACUGCGAAACUACUACUAAUACUGGUAGACUUGAGUACAGGGGAGGCAGUCGGAAUUCGUAGUGUAGCGGUGAAAUGCGUAGAUAUUACGAAGAACACCGAUGGCGAAGGCAGAUUACUAGACUGUAACUGACACUGAGGCACGAAAGCGUGGGGAGCAAACAGGAUUAGAUACCCCUGUAGUC